GGCGGGCGCAGCGCGGCGGGGCCUGGGCCCUCCCCGCCGCCAUGGCGCUGCCGCCGCGCUGAGCCGCCCCCCCCUUGCCAUGGCCGGGGCCAUCGCCUCCCGCAUGAGCUUCAGCUCGCUGAAGAGAAAGCAGCCCAAGACCUUCACGGUGCGCAUCGCCACCAUGGACGCCGAGAUGGAGUUCAGCUGUGAGGUGAAGUGGAAGGGGAAGGACCUGUUUGAUCUGGUAUGCAGAACACUAGGACUCCGAGAAACCUGGUUCUUCGGGCUCCAAUAUACCAUCAAGGAUACGGUGGCUUGGCUCAAAAUGGACAAGAAGGUUCUGGAUCAUGAUGUUCCAACAGAGGAACCCGUCACCUUUCACUUCCUGGCCAAAUUUUAUCCGGAGAAUGCAGAGGAGGAGCUGGUCCAGGAAAUCACACAGCACUUGUUCUUCCUGCAGGUGAAGAAGCAGAUUUUGGAUGAGAAGAUCUACUGUCCUCCUGAAGCUUCCGUCCUGCUGGCCUCUUAUGCUGUCCAAGCCAAGUACGGUGAUUACGAUCCCAACGUCCACAAGCGAGGCUUCCUGGCACAAGAGGAGCUGCUUCCAAAGCGGGUAAUAAACCUGUACCAGAUGACUCCGGAGAUGUGGGAGGAAAGGAUAACAGCCUGGUAUGCAGAGCACCGAGGCAGAGCAAGAGAUGAAGCUGAAAUGGAGUAUUUGAAGAUAGCUCAGGACUUGGAGAUGUAUGGAGUGAAUUAUUUUGCGAUUAGGAACAAAAAGGGCACCGAGUUACUCCUUGGAGUUGACGCCUUGGGUCUUCACAUUUAUGACCCAGACAACAGGUUGACCCCUAAAAUCUCCUUUCCGUGGAACGAGAUCCGGAAUAUCUCAUACAGCGAUAAAGAGUUUACCAUUAAGCCGUUGGACAAAAAGAUUGAUGUUUUUAAAUUCAAUUCAUCAAAGUUGCGUGUGAAUAAGCUGAUCCUUCAGCUGUGUAUUGGAAACCACGACCUCUUCAUGAGGAGGAGGAAGGCAGACUCUUUGGAGGUCCAGCAGAUGAAAGCUCAGGCCAGGGAGGAGAAAGCGAGGAAGCAGAUGGAACGGCAGCGCCUGGCCCGAGAGAAGCAAAUGAGAGAAGAAGCCGAGAGGACAAGGGAUGAGCUGGAGAGAAGACUGAUGCAGUUAAAGGAAGAGGCAACGAUGGCCAAUGAGGCUCUGAUGCGGUCUGAAGAGACAGCAGACUUGCUGGCUGAGAAGGCUCAGAUCACGGAGGAGGAGGCCAAGCUCCUGGCUCAGAAAGCAGCUGAGGCUGAACAGGAGAUGCAGCGAAUCAAAGCCACAGCCAUCCGGACAGAGGAGGAGAAGCGACUGAUGGAACAGAAGGUGCUGGAGGCAGAGAUGUUGGCACUGAAAAUGGCGGAGGAGUCGGAGAGGAGGGCAAAGGAGGCCGAUCAGCUAAAGCAAGACCUUCAGGAGGCUCGCGAGUCUGAGCGGAGAGCAAAGCAGAAGCUUUUGGAGAUCACCAGCAAGUCAUCCUACACACAGUCCAUGAACUCGAGUACAACUGCGCUGCCUACCGACCUGCCGAGCUUCAACCUCAUCAGUGAGAGCCUGUCCUUCGACUUCAAAGAUACAGACAUGAAGAGGCUUUCCAUGGAAAUCGAGAAAGAGAAGGUAGAGUACAUGGAGAAAAGCAAGCACCUGCAGGAGCAGCUGAACGAGCUGAAGACAGAAAUCGAGGCACUGAAGCUAAAGGAGAGAGAGACAGCUCUGGAUAUAUUGCACAACGAGAAUGCCAGCCGAGGCAACAGCAAGCACAACACUAUUAAAAAGCCUCAAGCCCAGGGCAGAAGACCUAUCUGCAUUUGAGACUUCAAACCUUGAAUGGGAGGCAAAGAGCUGCCUGGAGCCCCUGUCCCAUCUCAUCCACCCUCCAUCCAGCUCUGGAGGGGAUGCAGGGGGAUGCUGAGGAGGAGGAGAGCAGCCAGCCCUGGCCCAGGAGAUGCUACCAGCAAAGGCUUACCCUACAGAGCACCAAGUCCCGCGUGGCCUUCUUCGAGGAGCUCUAGGAAGCAACCAGCUGCUCUGCACCGCCGCUGCCUGCCGGCCGGCUCCCCCAGGACCGGCAUCGCCCCCCGGUCCCCGCCGGGUGCUGCCGGCCUCUGCACACUGACGGACUCGGGGCCCAGCUGCCCACGGACUGUGUGAUGUUCUCUAGCUUAGUGUCCAUUCAUCCUCCUCCCUGUCGCUCUUUUUUCCUUUUUUUUCCCCGCCUUUUUCUUACUUUUCUAGCGCAGUUUUUUGGCUCGGCACUCCAGGCUUUCCCCCGGUGCCAGCGUUGGGGCCGUGGCCGUGCCCCCCAGCCUGGCAGCCAGCGGAGGGGUCUGCCCUGGCAGCGAUGCCGCCCCUCCAGGCUGCCUUCUCCCUCCGGCAGCGGCACGCCGGCCCCAGAGCCCCGCACCAGCAGUGCCUGGAGCUCCAUUAGGAACACAGAGCAUGUUCUAGUGGAGUGCUGUAAAUCAGGGGCCGUCGCGCCGGCUCUCCCGGGGCCUGGCGGAGGUGGGAGGCGGGCGGGCAGGGAGCAGGAUUACAGCGGCUGCAGGACCUCGGUCCAUGGGGAUUAGGGCUGCUGCUUCUCUGGGGAGAGGCGGUAGAGGUGGGAGGUGGGGAGGAAGGUCUCCUCCUCCUCCUUGUCUCCACAAGGGAUAAGGAGCAGGAGAACAGACAGUGCCAACCAAAUUAAACCAUUUUUUUUUCCUGCAAACUGUGACAAAUCUGGGCAUCUGAGGCCAGGAGGUCUCUGGGGGCUCGGAGCCAGGCAGAGGGCAGCGCAGCACCAGCUUUCACUGGGUGCCCAAGCCCAGCACACCCUAACGCGGCAUGGGGCCCCCCAGCUCCUCCGAGCCCCCCUGGGCCAAGCCAGGGGUUGCCCGUGUCCUGGCAGGGGAGUGCUGGGUCCUCCGCGUCCCCCUUGGGACCCCCAGUUCCUCCCUCCCACAACCUCACCUGACCUACAGCCACACUGGUGUCGGCUGGAGGGUCACCCAGGGCUUGGCGUGUUGUAGAUCGUGUCCUGAGCCGUUUUUAUUUAAAACCACACUGCCUCGGAUCGACUGCCCGCACGUGGCUGUGACUGGGAUGGCUGUGGCCUGGCACAGCCGCUCUCCUCUUUCCCGGGGAAAAAAUAACGGUUUUUCUCCUCUCUUUUAAUAAAAAUUCAAAGCACUAGGAGGAGGA